rnacentral:rRNA from 1 species
UACGGCCAUACCACCCUGAGAACGCCCGAUCUCGUCUGAUCUCGGAAGCUAAGCAGGGUCGGGCCUGGUUAGUACUUGGAUGGGAGACCGCCUGGGAAUACCAGGUGCUGUAAGCU